rnacentral:rRNA from 1 species
GACGAACGCUGGCGGCGUGCUUAACCCAUGCAAGUCGAACGCUGAAGCCCUUCGGGGUGGAUGAGUGGCGAACGGGUGAGUAACACGUGGGUAAUCUGCCCUGCACUCUGGGAUAAGCCUUGGAAACGGGGUCUAAUACCGGAUAGGACACAUCGACGCAUGGAGUGUGUGGGGAAAGUUCCGGCGGUGCAGGUUGAGCCUGGUGCCUAUCAGCGUGUUGAGGGGGUGGUGGCCUAACAAGGCGACGACGGGUAGCCGGCCUGAGAGGGUGACCGGCCACACUGGGACUGAGACACGGCCCAGACUCCUACGGGAGGCAGCAGUGGGGAAUCUUGCGCAAUGGGCGAAAGCGUGACGCAGCAACGCCGCGUGGGGGAUGACGGCCUUCGGGUUGUAAACCUCUUUCGACCGGGACGAAGGAUUCGUUUGACGGUACCGGUAGAAGAAGCACCGGCUAACUACGUGCCAGCAGCCGCCGUAA